rnacentral:tRNA from 1 species
AGUUAAUAAGCUUUAAGCAAAUAUUUUGAAAAUAUUAAUAAGAUAUAAAUUUAUCUAUUAACUU